AAAAUUUAAAAAAUUAAGUAGUAAGUGAAAUGCGUGAAACUUAAGUUAAUUGGCGGCUUUUAAAAUUUUUUAGAGGAAUUUAUUCUAUAACGGAUUAUACACCAAAAUCUUACUUUCAUUUGUAUAUAGGGUUAUACAGUAUAUAUACCUCUGUUUUGGUAUAUAAAAAUAUAUAUUAGGUUGUUUUACAAAAUUAUAUUUCAGGGAAAGGUGUAGCUUAUAUGAAAGGUUGAAAUAAAUUAUAUUAAUUAAAAUUAAACAAAAAUAUUAUUGUAAACAUGAUAGGUUAAGUAAAAUUUAAUAGUAAAUUUUAUUUAUUAAGUAAAAUUGAAUAUUUUUUUAAAGUGUACAAAUUGCCCGUCACUCUCUUUUUGAGAUAAG
rnacentral:rRNA from 1 species